UCGCAAAGUCACCUUCAAAAGGAGAGUACAUAAAUUAUUGAGGACGACCAAGAAAGGAAGAAACCCACCACACCAACAAGAGCAGCAGCUACUGUACUAGAUUUAACUCACCUCUCAUUGUUCUCCCCAGUUCUCUGUUUACUUGUGAUUAAGAAAUUGCUCUUCUCUGCUUAGAUGUUUAUGUGUCUCAAAUUAAAAAUAUUUU